UCAUCUCUAGUUGAGUCAGUUUCAUUUGUUAUGGUCGCUUUUUUUCUAAAAUAAGGGACAGGUUAGCCAUGAAGGGCGGAACGUUUCGCAGUACGCAGUGGGAUCCCACGCUCCUGAUUUCCCAAAUCUUGUCAAUGCAGUUCUGCGUUUACUUCACAUUGGGCCUGCUGGUGUUCGUUGCCAACAAGUUGUCCGGAGACAACUACAGUUUGGAUCACCUGUUCGAGUACCAUGAAAUACACAUCUAUGAUAUUGGCGGACGACUCGUUAUCUGCGCCUUUGUAUUGAAUGCGUUCCUGGCCUCCACUGCCUUGUGGUGCAUCGUAAGACGGGCCAAGCUAUGUCUGGACUUUAGCUGCACCUUCCACAUCCUGCACUUGCUUAUAUGCUGGUGGUACAACCGUUCGUUUCCCGCCAACGCAUCCUGGUGGCUGCUCAACGUCAUUACCGGCACGAUAAUGUGCAUAGGCGGAGAGUUCCUCUGCCUGCAAACCGAAAUGAAGGAGAUCCCCGUGGGCUAUGCCGCUCUUAACCAAAAGUCGGACGUCUGAACCAAUAGCUCUGUGAUGACAACCAUUUUCUCUGUACAUUUAUUGUUAAACUAGCAUGAACGGGGGACGUUGCCUCAGCUUGAGUUCCUCGGGCACUGAAACCGGUGGAAUUGAAAACUU